rnacentral:rRNA from 1 species
AUUGAACGCUGGCGGCAGGCCUAACACAUGCAAGUCGAACGGUAACAGAAAGCAGCUUGCUGCUUUGCUGACGAGCGGCGGACGGGUGAGUAAUGUCUGGGAAACUGCCUGAUGGAGGGGGAUAACUACUGGAAACGGUAGCUAAUACCGCAUAACGUCGCAAGACCAAAGAGGGGGACCUUCGGGCCUCUUGCCAUCGGAUGUGCCCAGAUGGGAUUAGCUAGUAGGUGGGGUAACGGCUCACCUAGGCGACGAUCCCUAGCUGGUCUGAGAGGAUGACCAGCCACACUGGAACUGAGACACGGUCCAGACUCCUACGGGAGGCAGCAGUGGGGAAUAUUGCACAAUGGGCGCAAGCCUGAUGCAGCCAUGCCGCGUGUAUGAAGAAGGCCUUCGGGUUGUAAAGUACUUUCAGCGGGGAGGAAGGGAGUAAAGUUAAUACCUUUGCUCAUUGACGUUACCCGCAGAAGAAGCACCGGCUAACUCCGUG